rnacentral:rRNA from 1 species
AUUGAACGCUGGCGGCAGGCCUAACACAUGCAAGUCGAGCGGAUGAUUGGAGCUUGCUCCAUGAUUCAGCGGCGGACGGGUGAGUAAUGCCUAGGAAUCUGCCUGGUAGUGGGGGACAACGCUUCGAAGGGAACGCUAAUACCGCAUACGUCCUACGGGAGAAAGCAGGGGACCUUCGGGCCUUGCGCUAUCAGAUGAGCCCAGGUCGGAUUAGCUAGUAGGUGAGGUAAUGGCUCACCUAGGCGACGAUCCGUAACUGGUCUGAGAGGAUGAUCAGUCACACUGGAACUGAGACACGGUCCAGACUCCUACGGGAGGCAGCAGUGGGGAAUAUUGGACAAUGGGCGAAAGCCUGAUCCAGCCAUGCCGCGUGUGUGAAGAAGGUCUUCGGAUUGUAAAGCACUUUAAGUUGGGAGGAAGGGCAGUAAGUUAAUACCUUGCUGUUUUGACGUUACCAACAGAAUAAGCACCGGCUAACUUCGUGCCAGCCGCCGCCGUAACAC